AACGAACGCUGGCGGCAUGCCUAACACAUGCAAGUCGAACGAGACCUUCGGGUCUAGUGGCGCACGGGUGCGUAACGCGUGGGAACCUGCCCUUAGGUUCGGGAUAACUCCCCGAAAGGGGUGCUAAUACCGGAUAAUGUCUUCGGACCAAAGAUUUAUCGCCUUUGGAUGGGCCCGCGUUGGAUUAGCUAGUUGGUAGGGUAAAAGCCUACCAAGGCGACGAUCCAUAGCUGGUCUGAGAGGAUGAUCAGCCACACUGGGACUGAGACACGGCCCAGACUCCUACGGGAGGCAGCAGUGGGGAAUAUUGGACAAUGGGCGAAAGCCUGAUCCAGCAAUGCCGCGUGAGUGAUGAAGGCCUUAGGGUUGUAAAGCUCUUUUACACGGGAUGAUAAUGACAGUACCGGGAGAAUAAGCUCCGGCUAACUCCGUG
rnacentral:rRNA from 1 species